AAAAACUUUCAACAACGGAUCUCUUGGUUCUCGCAUCGAUGAAGAACGCAGCGAAUUGCGAUACGUAAUAUGACUUGCAGACGUGAAUCAUUGAAUCUUUGAACGCACAUUGCGCCCCGGGGUAUUCCCCAGGGCAUGCGUGGGUGAGCGAUAUUUACUCUCAAACCUCCGGUUUGGUCCUGCUUCGGCCUAAUAUCAACGGCGCUAGAAUAAGUUUUAGCCCCAUCCUUUUUCCUCACCCUCGUAAGACUACCCGCUGAACUUAAGCAUAUCAAUAAGCGGAGGAAAAGAAACCAACAGGGAUUGCCUCAGUAACGGCGAGUGAAGCGGCAAAAGCUCAAAUUUGAAAUCCCCCGGGAAUUGUAAUUUGAAGAGAUUUGGGUCCGGCCGGCAGGGGUUAAGUCCACUGGAAAGUGGCGCCACAGAGGGUGACAGCCCCGUGAACCCCUUCAACGCCCUCAUCCCAGAUCUCCAAGAGUCGAGUUGUUUGGGAAUGCAGCUCUAAGUGGGUGGUAAAUUCCAUCUAAAGCUAAAUACCGGCGAGAGACCGAUAGCGAACAAGUACAGUGAUGGAAAGAUGAAAAGCACUUUGAAAAGAGAGUGAAAAAGUACGUGAAAUUGUUGAAAGGGAAGGGCUUGCAAGCAGACACUUAACUGGGCCAGCAUCGGGGCGGCGGGG
rnacentral:sRNA from 1 species